rnacentral:rRNA from 1 species
GGUUAAAAAGCUCGUAGUUGGAUCUCGGCGGGCAGGGGGUGGUUCGCUCUUCAGCGCUACUGCCCCGCUUUGCCCGUGUGAUUGGCGGAGGUUUCGGGGUGCUCUUCGUUGAGUGACUCGGAGCGCCGUCAGGUUUACUUUGAAAAAAUUAGAGUGCUCAAAGCAGGCUUUUCACGCUUGAAUAUUCGUGCAUGGAAUAAUGGAAUAGGAACUCGUUUCUAUUUUGUUGGUUUUCGGAAAUCGAGUUAAUGAUUAACAGGGACAAUUGGGGGCAUUAGUAUUCAGACGACAGAGGUGAAAUUCUUGGACCGUCUGAAGACUGACUACUGCGAAAGCAUUUGCCAAGAGUGUUUUCAUUAAUCAAGAACGAAAGUUAGAGGUUCGAAGGCGAUCAGAUACCGCCCUAGUUCUAACCAUAAACGAUGCCAGCUAGCGAUCUGCCGAGUUUUUUUUGUAGGCUCCGCAGGAAGCUUUCGGGAAACCAAAGCUUUUGGGUUCCGGGGGAAGUAUGGUUGCAAAGCUGAAACUUAAAGGAAUUGACGGAAGGGCACCACCAGGAGUGGAGCCUGCGGCUUAAUUUGACUCAACACGGGAAAUCUCACCAGGCCCGGACACUGGAAGGAUUGACAGAUUGAGAGCUCUUUCUCGAUUCGGUGGGUGGUGGUGCAUGGCCGUUCUUAGUUGGUGGAGUGAUUUGUCUGGUUAAUUCCGAUAACGAACGAGACUCUGU